rnacentral:lncRNA from 1 species
CUACAUCUAGAACACGGUCUGGGACUGCGUAGGAGCCCAACAAACACACUUAGCAAAUGUGUGAGCAUGGAGUUGGGGCUUUGUGUAGGUUUUAAGUGAUCACAUUAAAGAGUGAGAGAGCCAGCAUGCCAUGAAAAGAUAGUGGUAACCAGCAAAGGGGAGUGGUAUUUUAAUUGCAGGAUCAGCAGCAUCAGCAACACCUGGGCACCUGUUAGAAAUGCGGAAACCCAAGGCCCAGCCCAGACCCAUCAAACCAGAAUCUGCCUUGUGUCUGCUGUACCUCCCAGCACCUCAACCUCCAAUAUUCAGCCUAAGCUGCCGCCAUCACCACCACCACCUCAGCCUUCCAGUGUGCUCAGUGUCUUCCCGAUUCUGGUUGUUACCUCACACGCAUGUGUUGAUGGAUCGCCAGCUCGAUGUUGAAGUGAGACUGCCAGUUCAUCUCCUUAGAUCUCCCGGUGCAGGGCUUUCCUCUCAGUAUUUUGACCUGCAAAAUACUUGCUGCCUUGAUCUCCUUGGACUCAACUUUGUUUCAAGUUAGGGAGUCCAUGAAUUCUGCCUGGGUUCGCUGUCCCUGGGGCAGGAUCUGGAAACUCUCUCAAGGCAAUGAGUUGUGGCAGUUGGAGAGUUCACAUUGUUUCCAGUCUCUCAGGAUGACCGCUGUACAGUUUCAUGUCUGGAAAGUCUUUGUUUCAUUUAUUUUGUUUGUUUGUGGAUUGUUUCAGGUGGGAGAGUAAAUCUGAUCACUGCUACUUCAUCUUGGCCAAGAAUGGAAGAGUCUGAAUUUUAAUUUUAUUUACAUAUAAUUAAUUUAUACUUAAAUUCCUAUAGCCCCUAUGAUGAGUGUCAUCUGAACUUCACAACACAGCUUUAGAUGCUUUGAGAGUGCUCUGUAGUCUAAGUCUGACCACACAGCAGGUUUUAUCUUCCUCCCGGGAAGUCACAGGGUGAAAGUCCCUCCGUAAAGGCUGCUGAAAUGAGCAUUUCCCAUACUUUUUUUGGCUCUAGAAACAUUUCAUUAUGUGAUAGCUGUUAACAUCCUGUGAAGUUCUGUUUUGCAGAAGAGUUUUGGAAGAUGCUCCUUAGAGAAGUUAGUUUAUAUUUAACACAUUUGCUGUCAGUGUCAAGAGAAGAAUUUCCCCAAGAUAUUAGGACCAGAAUUCCUAAUUUUACUUCUUUUGUGUGAGUCAAGAUUUUUUCGGAAUCCUUCUCUCUGCAGGAAUAGCUUUCUUGAUUGACAGAAUGAAAAAUAAUAAAGACAGCAUCUUUCAUGGGCCCUGAGAUGCAUGUUGUAUAUCUUCUGUAUUUUAUGUAUUUUCUGAUGAAGGAAUGAAUAAAUGUUAUUUUUUCAUUAAAAAUAUUUUCUAGAUAUGUCCACUGAGAAGGAUUCAAAACAUUGCCUAGCCAAGUAUCAAUGGGUUACCCUAGUGUCUAUACUAUGGCACCCAAAUUAUAAUUUUCACUAAAAGUAAAUAAGAUAAAUUAAAGAUGAAAAUAAUUACAGAUAUGGAGAAAGCAAUUUAGAAGGUGAGAGUGAAAUAUCUUGUUAUACAAUAUAGCAAGAAAACUGUCAAAAACAGCUAAUAUAUUAAGACUGUAUUAACUUAGAUGCUACAGGGAAUCAGGAGCCUACUUCACAUGGCUCCUACUGGUCAAUGAUGGCUCAACUUGAGGAUUCAUAAGCUUAAUGACUGCAAUGAAUUUAAACAUAUCACAUAAUUUUUUAAGUAAUGAUUUCAUAAUGACACCAAAAUAAUUAAAAGAUAAUUGAUCACCACUGGAUGUUGGUUGGGAAGGAAAUCAUUCUUUUUAAUUCUUUCUUAACAACAAUAAACAUUAAAAUACCACAGAACAACUAAAGAGUAGAUGAAAUAAAUUUCUCUUUCAAUUUCCUUCAGCUAAUAAAUGAAGAAGAAAUGACUUUUGUAAUCCCCAAUGCAUUAUUGUGGGCUGAUAACAUCAAUAGAAAGAGAUAAUCAAAAAAUAAUGGUCUUCUGAAGGAAGAACAAAAUACCGUCUAUGAAAUAGACAUGUUAAAACACUAAGUUCAAAUUUCAUAAUGCCUCCUAGCUCUAACUACCCAUUUACACAAAAUACAGAUGACUUAUAAUCAUAGUGAACACCUAGUGAUGCAAUGAGAAAACUCCAGACUAUGGGAAACAUUGUAGGGCCAAUAACCCAUUUUCACCAAGAAAAGAAUUAAUAAGAUGAAAUAAAGAUUUAGAGGGGUAACCUAUACAUUAAAAGAGAUUGAAAAGAUACAUCAACCCAUCACAAUGUGGGAACUUUUAUGGAUUCUGAUUCAAACAAAUAGUGUUUGCAGCUGAAAGUAUUGAAGAUAUUAUUGAUUGGCUAUUUGAUGAUAUUAAGAAUUUAUUGUCACAUUUUUAGGCUUUAAAUUAGUGUUUUGGUUGUGUAGAUGGAAAAGUAUUAUCUUUAAGAGAUUUAUUUAAGUAUUAUCAAUUGAAUUACAAACUGUGAAGUCCUUAAAAAUGAUAUAGCGAGAAAUGGAGGAUAAGACAGAUAAAAUAAUAUUGAGAAUUAAUUGAUAAUUCUUGAAUUUAUGUGAUGAGUAAAUGGAAAAGGAAUGAAUUACUCUGUCUAAUUUGUAUAUAAUUAAAAUUUUCCACAAUAAAAUGUUUGAAAGAACGAUGAACUUAGGAUUCUAAGUUUGAAGAGUAUUUUAAGUUCUAAAAGUCUAAGACAAGACUCUAGUUUCUUUCUGGGUCCAUCGGUUGGAAUAUUUCAUGCAGCAAAUUUGUUGAACUUUGGCCAGACUAUUUCACUUUCACAAGUUUUCUUUUUCAUUAUCAAGG